rnacentral:lncRNA from 1 species
AUAGUCAAAGCAUAUGGAAACCAUAUAAAUAAACAAGAGUUUCAAUAAAAGAGAGUAUCAAAAGAUUACAUUGUUUCCCCCCAACAACAAUAGGGUUUAGUUCACCAUUGUCAUGGUGAAUCUAGAUGAAAAAUGGAUGAAGAAUGGAAAAGCAAACCCUAGAUAAGAAGAAAUGGAGCCUAAGCUUCCAAGAGAUCCUCUCCAGAG